AAUUAUCUUACGAUAAUCGUACGAUUAUUUAAGAUUUAUGAUUUGGGUGUACGAUUCAAAUCAUAUAACCAUACGAUACGAUGUGAAUCGUACAAUUUUGAUAACAUUGGUUGCAGGAUCCUUCUAACUAGGUGCCGCUCCUGCAUAGAAUUCGCACUUCAAGCUCUUGCUCUUGCUCCGCCCUUGCACCCGAAUUUGUUGCCGCAUCACUUCACGCUUCAUGCAACUAUAGUCAAAUCACCCAUUGUGCUUCCAUCCACUAUUCUCUAUGCCAGCUAAGUUAAGGAAGGCAAGUUGGCCACUCAUUUAAUCUCCCAAGCUUGGGUUGACUUGACUCAGCAAGUAAUUGAACACGUGUUGUUCAUAAAUGUCUAUGUUGAUCUACCGGAAAUGUUUCUUAGCAAUGCAUGUGCAAUCAGGCAAGAAACUAAUCUUCCACCUUAUGAGUUACAUGUGUUAUCCGCCAUGCCUAGUCGCUAUGAUUUAAUCAUCAAGCACAUCUUCAAUUGCAUCACAAGUCGCUUGAGCACUUGCGGAACCUUAACUUCUUGCGCUUCAAAGCAAGGUGUUCCGUAUCCGCUACAAUACACCUAUAAAGGCCGAUACAUAUAGGUGAUGGCUAUGACUGUUACACGAUACGGGGGUGAAACAGGGCCGUUGGUUUUUUGGGACUGACUGUAUUGGCCGUUACAGGGCAUAACGGCCGUUACCCCUGUAACGGUCGAAAAAUGACAACUUUUUUUUUCCUAUUUAAAUCCAUUUUUCUCCUCAUUUUUUCACUUUUCUCAUUCCAAAAACUCCCCUAGAUCAUUUUAUAAAAGAUUUCGACCACUCUUACAAUAGUUUUUAAGAUUAAAACCGUAGAUUGAAGUGAUUUAAGCAAAUAGAAGCUCCCAGGGCCUUUUUUCCAAAAAAAAAAAAGGAAGUAUUUGUGCUU